rnacentral:lncRNA from 1 species
AUCCCUAUGAGACGGGCCUGUCUGUAGCAUGAGAUGUAUCCUCAUUGAGUAGAUGUUGUAAUGCAAGAGCUUAGCAGCAUCUUGCUCUGCUGAUCUACGGUUCGUGAGUGUACUCGAGGAGGAGGUAAAGGUCUUUCCACCGACAGAACCGGUACAUGCAAAUGUAGUUUUAUAAACUGGAAGAGGUGUGUUUAGUCUCGGACAGUAAGAGCUUAAGUCAUUCUUAUGACUCAGAAUCUCAGAUUCUCCAUAACUCCUACAAAAAAAUGAAGAAGCAACAUGCAGAGAUUUAUGAGAUCAUGCAAGAUUGGAGUAAAGCAACAAGAUUUAAACAAGUAGGAACAGGGGAAAUUGAGAUAUUGUCCACCGAGGAAGACCUUAAGGCUAAUGAGAGGACGAAAGCUAAUGAAUAUUUUACCUGUAGGACGAGUCUCGGACGAAGUCUCAGAAGGGGGUUGAACCUUAGGCUUUAGCGGCAUGGAGGAUGUGACUUGUGACGGAGAUGCAUCGGUCGGUGGUGAGAGAGGUCGUGUCAGUGUACUAUUUCG